UGGCGGCAGGCCUAACACAUGCAAGUCGAACGGUAACAGGAAGCAGCUUGCUGCUUUGCUGACGAGUGGCGGACGGGUGAGUAAUGUCUGGGAAACUGCCUGAUGGAGGGGGAUAACUACUGGAAACGGUAGCUAAUACCGCAUAACGUCGCAAGACCAAAGAGGGGGACCUUCGGGCCUCUUGCCAUCGGAUGUGCCCAGAUGGGAUUAGCUGGUAGGUGGGGUAACGGCUCACCUAGGCGACGAUCCCUAGCUGGUCUGAGAGGAUGACCAGCCACACUGGAACUGAGACACGGUCCAGACUCCUACGGGAGGCAGCAGUGGGGAAUAUUGCACAAUGGGCGCAAGCCUGAUGCAGCCAUGCCGCGUGUAUGAAGAAGGCCUUCGGGUUGUAAAGUACUUUCAGCGGAGAGGAAGGUGUUGAGGUUAAUAACCUCAGCAAUUGACGUUACCCGCAGAAGAAGCACCGGCUAACUCCGUGCCAGCAGCCGCGGUAAUACGGAGGGUGCAAGCGUUAAUCGGAAUUACUGGGCGUAAAGCGCACGCAGGCGGUCUGUCAAGUCG
rnacentral:rRNA from 1 species